AGGGUUUGAUCAUGGCUCAGAACGUACGCUGGCGGCACGCCUAACACAUGCAAGUCGAACGAAGUAGCAAUACUUAGUGGCAGACGGGUGAGUAACAUGUAGGUAUCUGCCCUUUGGCCUGGAAUAACACGAGGAAACUUGUGCUAAUACUGGAUAAGUCUUUACGGAGAAAGCUUUAUGCACCAUUGGAUGAGCCUGCACUUGAUUAGUUUGUUGGUAGGGUAAUGGCCUACCAAGACUUUGAUCAAUAGCUGAUUUGAGAGGAUGAUCAGCCACAUUGGGACUGAGACACGGCCCAAACUCCUACGGGAGGCAGCAGUGGGGAAUCUUGCACAAUGGAGGAAACUCUGAUGCAGCGAUGCCGCGUGAGUGAAGAAGGCCUUUGGGUUGUAAAGCUCUUUCGUCGGGGAAGAAAAUGACUGUACCCGAAUAAGAAGGUCCGGCUAACUUCGUGCCAGCAGCCGCGGUAAUACGAAGGGACCUAGCGUAGUUCGGAAUUACUGGGCUUAAAGAGUUCGUAGGUGGUUGAAAAAGUUGGUGGUGAAAUCCCAGAGCUUAACUCUGGAACUGCCAUCAAAACUUUUCAGCUAGAGUUUGAUAGAGGAAAGCAGAAUUUCUAGUGUAGAGGUGAAAUUCGUAGAUAUUAGAAAGAAUACCAAAUGCGAAGGCAGCUUUCUGGAUCAUUACUGACACUGAGGAACGAAAGCAUGGGUAGCGAAGAGGAUUAGAUACCCUCGUAGUCCAUGCCGUAAACGAUGUGUGUUAGACGUUGGAAAUUUAUUUUCAGUGUCGCAGCGAAAGCAAUAAACACACCGCCUGGGGAGUACGACCGCAAGGUUAAAACUCAAAUGAAUUGACGGGGACCCGCACAAGUAGUGGAGCAUGUGGUUUAAUUCGAAGAUACGCGCAGAACCUUACCAACACUUGACAUGUUCGUCGCGACUUUAAGAGAUUAAAGUUUUCGGUUCGGCCGGACGAAACACAGGUGCUGCAUGGCUGUCGUCAGCUCGUGUCGUGAGAUGUUGGGUUAAGUCCCGCAACGAGCGCAACCCUCACUUUUAGUUGCCAUCAUUAAGUUGGGCACUCUGAAAGAACUGCCAGUGAUAAGCUGGAGGAAGGUGGGGAUGACGUCAAGUCCUCAUGGCCCUUACGUGUUGGGCUACACACGUGCUACAAUGAUAUUUACAACAGGAAGCAAAACGGCGACGUUAAGCAAAUCCUCAAAAAAUAUCUCAGUUCGGAUUGCACUCUGCAACUCGAGUGCAUGAAGCUGGAAUUACUAGUAAUCGUGGAUCAGCGUGCCACGGUGAAUGCGUUCCCGGGUCUUGUACACACCGCCCGUCACACCAUGGGAGUUGGUUCUACCUUAAGGCAAGGUUUAAAAUCCUUGACCACGGUAUAGUCAGCGACUGGGGUGAAGUCGUAACAAGGUAACCGUA
rnacentral:rRNA from 1 species